CAAGAUAUUGUCUGGAAGACAUACUGCUUGAGGUGGACCUCCAGGAUGGUGAUCAGACACAGCUGACCUUGGCCCUGGUGUGCUCCUCCUCCUUCAGAGACAUCGUCGCUUAUCAUAGCUUCAGGAAAACAUGUCACUUUUUGUGGCUUGACAGUGUCAUUGAUUGGAGCAGGUUCUCCAACAAGUAGACGCAGGACUUCCAGAGAAUGUAAUCUGUGCUGAACUGCUCACGGUGCUACUGUUUAUACAAGAGCUGCAUGCUGGGUGUGUUGGAAGAGGAAGGCAGGGGGGAGCUGCAGGGGAUCUCUUCUGAAGAUCCCUACCCUGGAUUCUGCAGCAAUUUCUGCCAAAGUCUUGGGAUCUGCAACACCUAAAGAGGUGUGCCUGACUUUGAUGAUUUUGUUGUAAAUAACCAAUAAA